rnacentral:lncRNA from 1 species
CACUGUGCAACAUGGUUUCACCUCCUAGCAGACUUUAGAAAUGGAACUGCUUGGUCAUGUGUUUCCUUACUGAAAGAUAGUAGACUUUUGAGAUGUAGCUGGAUUUGGGGCUGAAAUUCAGAAUGGAUGAAACAAAAACCUUCACUCAUUUGACUUGGGGAGAGAAGAUGCAGACAUGGAAAAUGACCAUACAUAGCAACCAUUAUGAGCAGAAUAGGAAGCUGGAGAGAUUCAUGUGGCCCU